rnacentral:rRNA from 1 species
CCUACGGGAGGCAGCAGUGGGGGAUAUUGCACAAUGGGGGAAACCCUGAUGCAGCGACGCCGCGUGGGUGAAGAAGCGCCUCGGCGCGUAAAGCCCUGUCAGCAGGGAAGAAAAUGACGGUACCUGAAGAAGAAGCCCCGGCUAACUACGUGCCAGCAGCCGCGGUAAUACGUAGGGGGCAAGCGUUAUCCGGAGUUACGGGGUGUAAAGGGGGCGCAGACGGCGAUGCAAGCCAGGAGUGAAAGCCCGGGGCCCAACCCCGGGACUGCUCUUGGAACUGCGUGGCUAGAGUGCAGGAGGGGCAGGCGGAAUUCCUGGUGUGGCGGUGAAAUGCGUAGAUAUCAGGAGGAACACCGGUGGCGAAGGCGGCCUGCUGGACUGCAACUGACGUUGAGGCCCGAAAGCGUGGGGAGCAAACAGGAUUAGAUACCCGAGUAGUG